GACGAACGCUGGCGGCAGGCCUAACACAUGCAAGUCGAGCGGAGCGGCGGACGGGUGGGUAAUGCCUAGGAAUCUGCCUGGUAGUGGGGGAUAACGUCCGGCAACGGGCGCUAAUACCGCAUACUAUCAGAUGAGCCUAGGGGGGAGUAGCUAGCUGGUGGGGGAAAGGCCUACCAAGGCGACGAUCCGUAACUGGUCUGAGAGGAUGAUCAGUCACACUGGAACUGAGACACGGUCCAGACUCCUACGGGAGGCAGCAGUGGGGAAUAUUGGACAAUGGGCGAAAGCCUGAUGCAGCCAUGCCGCGUGUGUGAAGAAGGUCUUCGGAUUGUAAAGCACUUUAAGUUGGGAGGCGUUACCAACAGAAGAAGCACCGGCUAACUUCGUGCCAGCAGCCGCGGUAAUUC
rnacentral:rRNA from 1 species